GUCUGUCACCUGACUACUCCUCCCAGCUUCUAGAAAGCUCGGGGAAGAUCAUUGAGUGAUAGGGCAGAGACAGAGGAAGUCCCACCCUGAACCUUCCUCAUUAAUUCUCCCCCAUGUCCUUUUGAGCCUUUCACGCUCCCCUCUUGUUUCUCAUUGGUUUGUUAUCUGUCUCCGCCCCUUGUUCCUCCCCCAAAUUUAAGAUGCUGUCAUCCCUGUUUUGGGAGCUCUCCUGGAGCAGCGCCCAUGGAGUUUACUCUGAGGAUUCAAUAAACCUUGGACUUUGCCCUUCAUGAGGGCCUGACUCCUGUUUCCUCCAUUGUUGCUUCAGUCUCUUCCAGUAAGCCACUCCUCUGAUUGAGAGGGGUGUCCCCCGCAAGGUCAGCAGUGUCGAGCUAGCCCAGUAGAAAACAAGAAGUUGCAAGAUUGAAUUCCGGUGUCAGAUUUCCUCCUUUGCCUUCUACAUUCUGGAACAUAUUUUAGCUAAUGAAAAUGGACAUCCUCAUGACAGCAAAAGCUGAUAGGUUCAGAGACAACUGUAGAUUUUGCGAGAUUCACAUGUUGUGACACCAAAUUUUCAGAAGCCUUAAGAAAGUAGAAGACAAGGAAGUCCUGAAAUAAAUAAGUAUUCAAUAUUGAAGUAUGUUGACUGUUAAAAUAAUCAUCUCCUCCAGUAGUUAGGGCAUUGAUACACAGGAUUGUUCUUGCUCUUCAUUAAUUUGUACCCUAACUGUGACAAAAUAAAUAAUUUGAAUCUAA